rnacentral:tRNA from 1 species
UGAUAAAGAAAGGAAUUAAACCAAGGGGUGCAGGACUACAGCCUGCCGCCUAAUACUCGGCCACUCUACCU